UUGAGCCCAGAUUGUAUGCUUCAAAAUUUUAUUUUAUUUUUUUACCUUAUCACACCACUGUGUAUGUAUCUAUGUUUAUAAACAAAAAAUUAGGGAAUUAUAUAAAUCCCUAAAUGUACAUUUCCUCAGCAUUCAAAGACAAUUAAAACAUGUAAUAAUUUAUUUUCAUCAUUCAUUUCUAGGGACCACACUUGUAUUAGGUGUUGACAGUCUACUUACUAAUCUCUCUUUCAAAAUAAUUUUAUAUUUAGUUCUAUUAUAUUACUAAUGCUAUUUUUCCCUUUUAGGUUGUCACAGCUCAUGCAGUUCGGGUCCCUGUCACCAGCAACCUGAGUGCCAACAUUACUGGAUUUUUGCCUAUUCAUUGUAUUUACCAGCUUCUCAGGAGCCGUUCCUUUACCAAGCACAAAGUGUCAAUAAAAGAUUGGAUUUAUAGACAGCUGUGUGAAACCUCUACUCCACUUCAUCCUCAAUUACUUCCUUUGAUUGAUGUGUACAUAAAUUCUAUACUUACUCCUGCGUCGAAAUCUAAUCC
rnacentral:lncRNA from 10 species